rnacentral:rRNA from 1 species
UGGGGAAUAUUGCACAAUGGGGGAAACCCUGAUGCAGCGACGCCGCGUGAGCGAAAAAGGUUUUCGAAUCGUAAAGCUCUGUCCUAUGGGAAGAUAAUGACGGUACCAUAGGAGGAAGCCCCGGCUAACUACGUGCCAGCAGCCGCGGUAAUACGUAGGGGGCAAGCGUUGUCCGGAAUCACUGGGCGUAAAGGGUUCGCAGGCGGAAAUGCAAGUCAGUUGUGAAAGGCAGAGGCUCAACCUCUGUAAGCAAUUGAAACUGUAUUUCUUGAGAUGUGGAGAGGCAAGUGGAAUUCCUAGUGUAGCGGUGAAAUGCGUAGAUAUUAGGAAGAAUACCGGUGGCGAAGGCGACUUGCUGGACACAAACUGACGCUGAGGAACGAAAGCGUGGGUAGCAAACAGG